GUGGGUGUAGCUCAGUGGUAGAGCACGUGUUUAACACGCACAGGGUCCGGGGUUCAAUCCCUGGUCUCUCC
rnacentral:tRNA from 1 species